CCCUCAGGAUAGCUGGAGCUC
rnacentral:snRNA from 1 species